UACAGAGGGUGCGAGCGUUGUCCGGAAUCACUGGGCGUAAAGGGCGCGUAGGUGGUUUGCUAAGCGUGUGGUGAAAGCCCGGGGCUCAACCCCGGGUCUGCCGUGCGGACUGGCAAACUGGAGCAGAGUAGAGGCGAGUGGAAUUUCGGGUGUAGCGGUGGAAUGCGUAGAUAUCCGAAAGAACACCGGUGGCGAAGGCGGCUCGCUGGGCUCUUGCUGACACUGAUGCGCGACAGCGUGGGGAGCAAACAGGAUUAGAAACCCCCGUAGUCC
rnacentral:rRNA from 1 species